GACCUGGUGGUGAAAGGUAUCACAUCUGCUUUGCCUACCAGGGAGAAUCAAAGGUAUUUGUAGGAAUCCCUGGUUUGAGUCCGGGUCAGGUCA